GAGCGUUGUUGGUGAUCGUCCUCCUCCCUGAUCGCCAACAAUCAAGCGGCCUUCUCCUCCUCCCAAAGGCCGCUUCCUUAUCGAAGCCCGUCGCGACCUCCUCCCCGCGACGGGCUUUUUCU
rnacentral:sRNA from 1 species